rnacentral:rRNA from 1 species
GACGAACGCUGGCGGCGUGCCUAAUACAUGCGAGUCGAACGCUGAAGGAGGAGCUUGCUUCUCUGGAUGAGUUGCGAACGGGUGAGUAACGCGUAGGUAACCUGCCUGGUAGCGGGGGAUAACUAUUGGAAACGAUAGCUAAUACCGCAUAAUAGUAGAUGUUGCAUGACAUUUGCUUAAAAGGUGCAAUUGCAUCACUACCAGAUGGACCUGCGUUGUAUUAGCUAGUUGGUGGGGUAACGGCUCACCAAGGCGACGAUACAUAGCCGACCUGAGAGGGUGAUCGGCCACACUGGGACUGAGACACGGCCCAGACUCCUACGGGAGGCAGCAGUAGGGAUUCUUCGGCAAUGGACGGAAGUCUGACCGAGCAACGCCGCGUGAGUGAAGAAGGUUUUCGGAUCGUAAAGCUCUGUUGUAAGAGAAGAACGAGUGUGAGAGUGGAAAGUUCACACUGUGACGGUAUCUUACCAGAAAGGGACGGCUAACUACGUG